GAGAGAAAGGGAAAGGGUGAAAGAGCUUGAGGAAGUUAUGGGAUAUGGGAGGAUCGGUAAAACAGAUCUAAUUCAUCUGAAUUGAAUAAUUUCUUUACCGAUUCCACCCAUUCCUAUUAUUUCCUUUUGUUCCUCUCUUUCCACUCUCCUC
rnacentral:pre_miRNA from 1 species